CGGAUUGUUGAGUGAGUGGUUGUCAAAAGUUUCCCAAUAUUUUCAUUUUUUCCAUUAAAAUUACCGAUGAAUUCAGAAGAAGGAACGCGAAAGGCAACUAUCCUACAGGCUACAAGUUAGCCUACCAUCAAUUAUUUUAUUAAAAAUCGUCGUUCUGCUGAAUGCUUUAUCCUGUUAAAACAGGUCACUAACCCCAGCCAUGACACUUCUGUUGUUUUUUCCGAACAUGUUUUCUAUAAAUAAGGCAUUGACAGACAAGCUACUAGAUAAUAUCGCCAGUGUCGCCCUUGUUGUUCUCACAUCGACUAGUAGCGUUCAGUCACUUUCCAUCCAUUAGAUCCUCAUGCUGUCAAAAGCCUAAAACUCAUGUUUGAAGCACACAUAUAGUGGUAUACAAAUGUGUGGAGAUAAGGUAUUUUCCCAUUACUCCUACCACAAAAACUACACUACGUCAAAUGCCUUACUACAUCAUCACCCAUAUGAUAAAGCAUCAGGAAAUUUAUCCCACCCGAGGAGUAAUGCAGUUGGUUGCUGUAGUUCCAUUAUCACAGUUUUUCAUCAUGAACAUUUCAGUGUGCUUCUUAGAAAAGAGCAUGCAAGAUCCCACAGACAUCCUUGAGCUGGAUUUUGUCCAUAACAGAAGAGGGACUUAACCAACAUUCUGUUCCAUCCUUAUCUUCAAGACUCAUCCAGCUUCACUGCUUCAGUGCUUCUUAUGCUGCUAGUCCUGCUACACAACUUAUCUUGCUUCACUGGCGAGUUGGAUCACUUCCUUUGCUGUGACACACCUGCAGUCACUCACCACGGGAUUAUGGCCAGGUAAUGCAGAGAAGAUGUCGAGAAGAUGAACACCAAAACUUCGCCGGUAUCUCCAAAAUGUCAGCGCGCCAGCGCGGACCAUCAUUUGUUGUUGGUAAUAUGUUUUCGUUUGUGUUAGUUAACCCG